GAUGAACGCUGGCGGCGUGCCUAAUACAUGCAAGUCGAGCGAACGGACGAGAAGCUUGCUUCUCUGAUGUUAGCGGCGGACGGGUGAGUAACACGUGGAUAACCUACCUAUAAGACUGGGAUAACUUCGGGAAACCGGAGCUAAUACCGGAUGAUAUUUUGAACCGCAUGGUUCAAAAGUGAAAGACGGUCUUGCUGUCACUUAUAGAUGGAUCCGCGCUGCAUUAGCUAGUUGGUAAGGUAACGGCUUACCAAGGCAACGAUGCAUAGCCGACCUGAGAGGGUGAUCGGCCACACGGGAACUGAGACCGGGACCAGACCCCAAGGGGGGGAAGCGGGAGGAAUUCUCCCGAAAGGGGCGAAACCCGAACGAGGCAAGCCCGGGGGAGGAAGGAAGGUUUGGGGUUGGAAAAACCUGUUUUUUGGGAAAAAAAAUUUGUGUAGUUAACGUGGCCCAUCUGGAGGGACCCAAUAAAAAAGCCCCCGGCAAACUACGG
rnacentral:rRNA from 1 species